rnacentral:rRNA from 1 species
CCCGGGAACUGGGGAUAAUUCCGGAUAGAUCAUAGAUGCUGGAAUGCGCUGUGGUCCAAAGCUAUUGCGCCUAAGGAUGGGUCUGCGGUCUAUCAGGUCGUAGUGGGUGUAAUGUACCUACUAGCCUACGACGGAUACGGGUUGUGGGAGCAAGAGCCCGGAGAUGGAUUCUGAGACAUGAAUCCAGGCCCUACGGGGCGCAGCAGGCGCGAAAACUUUACAAUGCGGGGAACCGCGAUAAGGGGACACCGAGUGCCAGCAUCCUAUGUUGGCUGUCCAUAUGUCUAAAUCGCAUAUGUUAGCAAGGGCCGGGCAAGACCGGUGCCAGCCGCCGCGGUAACACCGGCGGCCCGAGUGGUGGCCACUAAUAUUGGGUCUAAAGGGUCCGUAGCCGGCUUGGUCAGUCUUCCGGGAAAUCUGACGGCUUAACCGUUAGGCUUCCGGGGGAUACUACCAGGCUUGGGACCGGGAGAGGUAAGAGGUACUACGGGGGUAGGAGUGAAAUCUUGUAAUCCCCGUGGGACCACCAGUGGCGAAGGCGUCUUACCAGAACGGGUCCGACGGUGAGGGACGAAAGCUGGGGGCACGAACCGGAUUAGAUACCCGGGUAGUCCCAGCCGUAAACUAUGCUCGCUAGGUGUCAGGGACGGUGCGACCGUUUCUGGUGCCGCAGGGAAGCCGUGAAGCGAGCCACCUGGGAAGUACGGUCGCAAGGCUGAAACUUAAAGGAAUUGGCGGGGGAGCACUACAACGGGUGGAGCCUGCGGUUUAAUUGGACUCAACGCCGGAAAACUCACCGGGGGCGACAGCAAUAUGUAGGUCAAGCUAAAGACUUUACCAGAAUCGCUGAGAGGAGGUGCAUGGCCGUCGUCAGUUCGUACUGUGAAGCAUCCUGUUAAGUCAGGCAACGAGCGAGACCCGUGCCCACUGUUGCCAGCAUGUCCUUCGGGAUGAUGGGUACUCUGUGGGGACCGCCGAUGCUAAAUCGGAGGAA